AAAAUUGAAAAUUUGCAAAUUUAAACUUUGCCUCAUUUAUAUUUUUAGCUAAUUGUUUACAAUAGCAAGUUAAAUAUUGAUUAAUCAUGUUCAAUUUGAACCAUCAGUCUAGUUUUUUUGAAAUGGUUUUGAACACAAUCUUUCCCUCGCAAUGAUCUUAUGACUGGAAUCAAAUUAUUAUUUUCGUUAUGUUGACAUUAGUCUAUUUCUGUAAAUCUUCAUCAAGUACAUAAUGGCUAUUACCAAUUUAACAGUUGUAAGUUGAUCCAAAUUAAUUGGUGCUAAUUCCUAACUAUUUAAGCUACUGAGAGGCAUGUGUUAAUAGCUUUAACAACGGACUCAUGGAUUCAAAACUGGUGAAAAGACAUGGCAUUUAUCUUGGCCACUAAUUGAUUGAAUAUCCUUGCGAUAUAAUUGAAGACAACUCUAAUGACAUCGUCAAUCAUAUCCUGUUACAUAUCUAAUCAUAAACUGGGAAAAACGAAAAAAAUCGGAAUAUCCUUUACCUGAUUGACAUUGCUGGGCAUCUAUUGGUUGACAAGCUGUGUUAUUGACACGAUUGGAAAUAUAACUUAUCCGGUUAUAUAGUCAUGUUUGAUCAGCAAAAAAAUUCAAAAUGGGUCAUCAAUUACAAAAUCAAUUACCAAGAACAAUGGAAUCAAAAUCAUGGGAACAUUGCAUUCAGUAAACAACAUUUGACAAUUUUGAUCUAAAAAUAACAACCUCACAACAUUUAAAUGAGCUUAUAUCCUGAAUUUAUAUGUGGAACUUUUUUGUAAUGAAAAAUUGGUGGUCAAAUGUAAAAACCAAGGAGGUGAUAUUUUGAUGUACUCACAGUCAUGAAAAACAACGAUAUGAUUUAAAACAGCGCUGUUUCAUAAUCAAACUGGCUUAUGAUUGGAUAUGCUUUCUAGCCAUGCCCUGAAAAGAUGACGUCUGAACGAGAUUGAAGAUGAUUUCGAGACGGAUGGACUUUAUCCGAUGGAGUCGAAGUAACAUCAAUGAGCACCAAUGUUCUUAAUUCGCCUGAUUUAUUGCAAUUUCCGAGUUUCCACUCCUGUGAAUGUCUUUACACAAAGAAAUCGUUCAUCUAUCAAGUUUCGAUCCGAAAUCAUUCUUCAAAAACUGGAAACUAAACAGCUAUUAAUAACUUGGAAUCAUGCAAGAGGAAAAUGAAAGAAUACAAAAUCAAACGAAGCAACUUCAAAUGAUCGAUCCAUUUUUAUUGAAACUCUUUAAUAUUCUCUUUUUAUAAUCUUGAAAAUUUUGAAAAAUUAUGUCUGUUUAAUUUAGUUUUAUCAUGAAACUGCAGCUGAUGUUUAUUUUGACAUUCAAUUGAUUGGUAAAUCAAGGUUAAACUGAUUUACAAGACUCUUGUUUAAAUUGAAUUUUUCUUUGAGUUGUUACUUACAGAGACUUUUCGAUUGAUUCAUACUUGAUUCUUUAAGAUGAAUUAAGAUUCUCAUGCAAGGAUUGAAAAUAAAAUGAAAAUGUUGAGAUUUUGUUAAAA